GGCGAACGGGUGAGGAACACGUGAAGAAUCUGCCUUCAACUCUGGGAUAACACCGGGAAACCGGUGCUAAUACCGGAUAUGAGCCUUGAUCGCAUGAUCGGGGCUGGAAAGUUUUUCGGUUGAAGAUGACUUCGCGGCCUAUCAGCUUGUUGGUGAGGUAAUGGCUCACCAAGGCGACGACGGGUAGCCGGCCUGAGAGGGCGACCGGCCACACUGGGACUGAGACACGGCCCAGACUCCUACGGGAGGCAGCAGUGGGGAAUAUUGGGCAAUGGACGAAAGUCUGACCCAGCGACGCCGCGUGCGGGGUGAAGGCCUUCGGGUUGUAAACCGCUUUCAGCAGGGAAGAAGCGAAAGUGACGGUACCUGCAGAAGAAGCACCGGCUAACUAUGUGCCAGCAGCCGCGGUAAUACAUAGGGUGCAAGCGUUGUCCGGAAUUAUUGGGCGUAAAGAGCUCGUAGGUGGUUAGUUACGUCGGAUGUGAAAAUCUAGGGCUCAACCCUAGACCUGCAUCCGAUACGGGCUAGCUUGAGUUUGGUAGGGGAGACUGGAAUUCCUGGUGUAGCGGUGGAAUGCGCAGAUAUCAGGAGGAACACCAAUGGCGAAGGCAGGUCUCUGGGCCAAUACUGACACUGAGGAGCGAAAGUGUGGGGAGCGAACAGGAUU
rnacentral:rRNA from 1 species